rnacentral:rRNA from 1 species
AACGUAGGAGACAAACGUUAUCCGGAGUUACUGGGCGUAAAGGGCUUGUAGGUGGCCAACUAAGUCCGACGUGAAAUCCCUAGGCUUAACCUAGGAACUGCGUCGGAUACUGGAUGGCUUGAAUCCGGGAGAGGGAUGCGGAAUUCCAGGUGUAGCGGUGAAAUGCGUAGAUAUCUGGAGGAACACCAGUAGCGAAGGCGACACUCUGGGCCGGAACUGACGCUGAGGAGCGAAAGCGUGGGGAGCAAACAGG